GUCGAACGCUUCUUUUUCCACCGGAGCUUGCUCCACCGGAAAAAGAGGAGUGGCGAACGGGUGAGUAACACGUGGGUAACCUGCCCAUCAGAAGGGGAUAACACUUGGAAACAGGUGCUAAUACCGUAUAACAAUCGAAACCGCAUGGUUUUGAUUUGAAAGGCGCUUUCGGGUGUCGCUGAUGGAUGGACCCGCGGUGCAUUAGCUAGUUGGUGAGGUAACGGCUCACCAAGGCCACGAUGCAUAGCCGACCUGAGAGGGUGAUCGGCCACAUUGGGACUGAGACACGGCCCAAACUCCUACGGGAGGCAGCAGUAGGGAAUCUUCGGCAAUGGACGAAAGUCUGACCGAGCAACGCCGCGUGAGUGAAGAAGGUUUUCGGAUCGUAAAACUCUGUUGUUAGAGAAGAACAAGGAUGAGAGUAACUGUUCAUCCCUUGACGGUAUCUAACCAGAAAGCCACGGCUAACUACGUGCCAGCAGCCGCGGUAAUACGUAGGUGGCAAGCGUUGUCCGGAUUUAUUGGGCGUAAAGCGAGCGCAGGCGGUUUCUUAAGUCUGAUGUGAAAGCCCCCGGCUCAACCGGGGAGGGUCAUUGGAAACUGGGAGACUUGAGUGCAGAAGAGGAGAGUGGAAUUCCAUGUGUAGCGGUGAAAUGCGUAGAUAUAUGGAGGAACACCAGUGGCGAAGGCGGCUCUCUGGUCUGUAACUGACGCUGAGGCUCGAAAGCGUGGGGAGCAAACAGGAUUAGAUACCCUGGUAGUCCACGCCGUAAACGAUGAGUGCUAAGUGUUGGAGGGUUUCCGCCCUUCAGUGCUGCAGCUAACGCAUUAAGCACUCCGCCUGGGGAGUACGACCGCAAGGUUGAAACUCAAAGGAAUUGACGGGGGCCCGCACAAGCG
rnacentral:rRNA from 1 species